rnacentral:rRNA from 1 species
AUUGAACGCUGGCGGCAGGCCUAACACAUGCAAGUCGCACGAGUGGCGGACGGGUGAGUAAUGUCUGGGAAACUGCCUGAUGGAGGGGGAUAACUACUGGAAACGGUAGCUAAUACCGCAUACCAUCGGAUGUGCCCAGAUGGGAUUAGCUAGUAGGGGGGGUAACGGCUCACCUAGGCGACGACCCCUAGCUGGUCUGAGAGGAGGACCAGCCACAGGGGAACGGAGAAACGGUCCAGACUCCUACGGUAGGCAGCAGUGGGGAAUAUUGCACAUUGGGCGCAAGCCUGAGGCAGCCAUGCCGCGUGGAUGAAGAAGGCCUUCGGGUUGUAAAGUACUUUCAGCGGGGAGGCGUUACCCGCAGAAGAAGCACCGGCUAACUCCGUGCCAGCAGCCGCGGUAAUAC